GGAAUAUUGGACAAUGGGGGAAACCCUGAUCCAGCCAUGCCGCGUGUGUGAAGAAGGCCUUUUGGUUGUAAAGCACUUUAAGCGAGGAGGAGGCUACUUAGAUUAAUACUCUAGGAUAGUGGACGUUACUCGCAGAAUAAGCACCGGCUAACUCUGUGCCAGCAGCCGCGGUAAUACAGAGGGUGCGAGCGUUAAUCGGAUUUACUGGGCGUAAAGCGUGCGUAGGUGGUCUUUUAAGUCGGAUGUGAAAUCCCUGAGCUUAACUUAGGAAUUGCAUUCGAUACUGGGAGACUAGAGUAUGGGAGAGGAUGGUAGAAUUCCAGGUGUAGCGGUGAAAUGCGUAGAGAUCUGGAGGAAUACCGAUGGCGAAGGCAGCCAUCUGGCCUAAUACUGACACUGAGGCACGAAAGCAUGGGGAGCAAACAGGAUUAGAUACCCUUG
rnacentral:rRNA from 1 species